AGCGGAGUAGAGCAGUUUGGUAUAUAGCUCACAAGGCUCAUAACCUUGAGGUUACGGGUUCGAUUCCAGUCUCCACAC
rnacentral:tRNA from 1 species